AAACUCAAAUGAAUUGACGGGGGCCCGCACAAGCGGUGGAGCAUGUGGUUUAAUUCGAUGCAACGCGAAGAACCUUACCUACUCUUGACAUCCACAGAACUUUCCAGAGAUGGAUUGGUGCCUUCGGGAACUGUGAGACAGGUGCUGCAUGGCUGUCGUCAGCUCGUGUUGUGAAAUGUUGGGUUAAGUCCCGCAACGAGCGCAACCCUUAUCCUUUGUUGCCAGCACGUCAUGGUGGGAACUCAAAGGAGACUGCCGGUGAUAAACCGGAGGAAGGUGGGGAUGACGUCAAGUCAUCAUGGCCCUUACGAGUAGGGCUACACACGUGCUACAAUGGCAUAUACAAAGAGAAGCGAACUCGCGAGAGCAAGCGGACCUCAUAAAGUAUGUCGUAGUCCGGAUCGGAGUCUGCAACUCGACUCCGUGAAGUCGGAAUCGCUAGUAAUCGUAGAUCAGAAUGCUACGGUGAAUACGUUCCCGGGCCUUGUACACACCGCCCGUCACACCAUGGGAGUGGGUUGCAAAAGAAGUAGGUAGCUUAACCUUCGGGAGGGCGCUUACCACUUUGUGAUUCAUGACUGGGGUGAAGUCGUAACAAGGUAACC
rnacentral:rRNA from 1 species